rnacentral:rRNA from 1 species
CCUACGGGAGGCAGCAGUGGGGAAUAUUGCACAAUGGGGGAAACCCUGAUGCAGCGACGCCGCGUGAGUGAAGAAGUAUUUCGGUACGUAAAGCUCUAUCAGAAGGGAAGAAAUAAAGUCCUUCGGACUUUGGACGGUACCUGACUAAGAAGCCCCGGCUAACUACGUGCCAGCAGCCGCGGUAAUACGUAGGGGGCAAGCGUUAUUCGGAUUUACUGGGUGUAAGGGGAGCGUAGACGGCAGCGCAAGUCUGGAGUGAAAUCCGAUGGCUUAACAAUGGAACUGUUUUUGAUACUGUGUAGCUGGAGUGCAGGAGAGGUAAGCGGAAUUCGUGGUGUAGCGGUGAAAUGCGUAGAUAUUAGGAGGAACACCAGUGGCGAAGGCGGCUUACUGGACUGUAACUGACGUUGAGGCUCGAAAGCGUGGGGAGCAAACAGGAUUAGAUACCCGGGUAGUC